CUUUGGAAUGCAUGUAAUGCUAAAGUAUAGAUCAUAGGGGAAAGUACACAAAAGUACCCUAUUGUUUGACCCCUUUUAAAAAAAAAUUUUAUUUAGGCUUCGUGGUUCAAUUUUUGUCACUUUAGUACCCUGAGGUUUUCUUAGUUAAUCAGAUGAUGGGUAACUUGAGUAAUGCCAUCAGGUUUGCUGAUAUGGCACUUGCACGUGGACCCUUUUAUUUGAGGCUAAAAAUGGGUCUCACUUGGCCACAUAAUUUAUAAAAAUUUUAAUUAAGAAACUUAAAAA
rnacentral:misc_RNA from 1 species